rnacentral:lncRNA from 1 species
UAUUAAAGAGACAAGAAACAAAGCAGAGAGCAGGCUCAGGGAUUUUCUUCCCUGACACAAACAGCAGAGCAUUUGGGACAGAGAGCUCACUGACAGUUUGAGUGCUCAGCACUGUUCUGGAAACCUGUCCACAGGCAGUGUCUCUAAUGGCCCUGCUGAACAGCACAAAGCUGCCAGCUAAGCGCCACAAAGGAUUCGUGAGUCUUAUCUCUGCUGAAGCUGUGACUGACCCAGCACAUUUGGUGUAGUGUAGAGAAAUGGCUGGUCACUUGCCACCCUGAGUGGGAAUCAGGCUGCUGUUGAGAAGCCGCUGGGGUGCCGUGCUGCCCCAGGGAACGGAACCGUGACAUCAGCUCAAGCAUGAAGUCGUAACAAUGCCACUGCUUUCCCAAAAGGCCACGGUCUGUGGGAAGGAACACAACUGCAAUUCUUGAUGCGAGUUUUUCAUGCCUUUGUGUGUGACUGAUGCAGGAAAAGGCUCAGUUUCUACUACGAAUCACCUGAAAGCGCUCGAGGUAUCGGGGAAGCUUGGACUGUUCUGGUUCCUCAGUGUCUAGCUGCUCCACCAGGUUUGCUGAGCCCAAGCCAUCUUCACCUUCCUGAGGCUGUGCCUCUGAAGUCUGGACAUCUGGAGACGUCACCACCUUCAGGACUCCAUCCAGCACAUCGAGCUGUAGGGCACAGGAGAGUCAGGAGGACAUCUGUUAUAGACUUGACUGUGUGCAGGCCAACUUCAAAGUGUGUGUUCCUUGGUUAUAAUGACUGAGAAAGAGCAUUAAUGAUAUCAGCAUAAUGUGCCAUGGGAGACACUGGGUUGAGGACCUCAGGACAGAAAUGAAAGCUGAGUGGUGAGCCUUGGCAUUUCAGAGUCAAGGCCACACAGAAGAGCAUCUCCAAGGGUGUAGGCUAGGCAGCUAGCCAGCUCCCAGGGCUUCAUGUCUCUCUGCUCCCUCCCUGCCAUUACCGGACGAUAACUGCACUCCUGGGCCUGGCUUUUUAAGUGGUUCUGGGGAUCUGAACUCAGCCACACUGAAAAUGUUUGUGGUUUCUUUUCAUCCUUUUAAACGGAAUAAAUACCAAUUCUGCACACAUACAGAAAGCAGCGGAAGGAGAAAGACCAUGGGAACAGAUGCCUGUGAAGCCUCCAUUUGACUGAGUGGGGUGGAAAAACAUACCACUUCUCUACCCAGCUUGAGGUCUUCAGGGGAGGAGGCCACCCUCUCCAUCACUUGGAGGGCUCUGUCGAGGUAGCCUGGUGUCCACAUCAGAGGCAUGCCGUGGUAUACAGCCCGCACCCCACGCUGCAGUUCCACCUUCCCUGUGGCCAAAAGAGCAACAAAGACUGAUCAGCCAUGCCUCCUCACUGGGUCUGCAGCCAAAGGCUUGGAAGGCCCCAGCCAACAGCAGCCUAGGCAAGGACCCUCACCACGCACACCUUAAAAGGAAGCUUGGUGAACUUGUGUUAUGUGUUUCCUCUGGCUGGAGAUUUACCAGGGCCCAUGAAUCAUUGGGCUGAGGAACUUUGAGAGUCUGACAGAGCUGUUCCUACAGAAGGCCACCCUUAAGACAAAAGAAAAUUAUACUACGUAUGUUUCAAGGCCAAAACCAUACCCAGAAAAAGCAAUGUCACAGCUUCCUACUCUGAGGACCCUGUGACUCAGCGGUGACUUUCCCUGCCGGGAAAUGUGUGACUUGUUUUGAAAAGUGUCAAACAUACAAUCUAUUUUCUUUAUGAAUAAGAAAAGGAACUGCUUCCCCCCUCACUUUCUUGAGUGUUAUCAGUUCUUACAUCAGCGUCCCGGCUACCUUUGAGGUCACAGGGCCAGGUUGCUCAAACUGCCACGCAGCUGUGGCCAGGCAGCAGGGCCCCGGGAAGCACAGGGCCACCUGCACUGAUCUUAGCACUGAUGAGCAAAGUCACCUUGAGUGGCUCGGUCUAAGUUUGCCUCUGCUCAUCUUUCUUGGAAGGGAGGAUUUGGGAAGCUGGAAGAGGAUGCCAGCAGACAAAGCUUAUCAGGAGAUGGCUAAUUUUAGAUCUUUAAGGUGCUUGGGCUGGACACGGGUCAUGCUGGGCUGCUGGCUUGAGUCGAGUAAGGCUGUGGAGCAGGGGCAGAGGUGGGGUGUCUGAUGGCAUGGCUGCCUAUCGCAAGGGACCAGGGCCUCUUCUCAUAAGCAACAGUCAAGUACAUUCCUUAGCCUCACCAACUUUCUGAAUGAUCUGUGUAAUACGGCAGUCCUGAACACUAAUCUGAACACCCUUCCACCUGGCUGUACAAACACCUGGGACCAACAGGUGACCGUUCCUGAGAGGUGCUCUCUGACCUUCCUCCCUCACCUGGAAUCAAAGUCAAAGACACAGAUGAUCGUUGGUCGACACUGGGAAAGUAUUGGCUAGCAAUCCUGAUAGAUCACCACAAGUUCACAUAUGCUGUCCCUUCCUCACACUGAUCAAAAAUAAGUUUUCCUACAGUUACCAGAGCCAGUUCUGAGCUGGUUGGUGGUGACAGGUCUAAUGACAUCCCUUGACCAUCCAUAACUGGAGUGUUAUUUUAUUGACUAUACUUGGGAGUUAUAACUGGAUGUUCACUAGUAAAUUUAAAUGAAGCUUUAAUUCUAUUAUGAGACAAAAGGCUGUGCUACAUCUUUCCACAAAGAACAGUAUGAACAAGGCUCACUUAGCUUACCGAGAAGUGCAUAGCCAUACAGCUGGGAACUCAGGCCCACUGUGUUCCUUUGUUUCAGGCCAGAAAGCAAGAGGGACGCCCCAAAGUCUCUUUCUUCUUCCCACUGCAACAGAAUACAGCAGAUCACUGUCUAUUAAACGUGGAUACUUCAUGCUAAAUGUGAUUUUUUAAAAAUAUGACAGCCAAAAGCAUGUAUUAAGUUUAUGAAAAUAACAAACUGUGUAGAAGUUAUCCCGAUUCUAUAAAUAAAAGGUAUUCAUAUUUUUAAAAAAUCAGAACAGAAAUGCCCUCUAUAUAACUAAGGACUCCUGGGUGGUGAGAUUUCAUUAAGUGGUUUUGGUUUUCUCCUUUGUGCUUCUCAUGAUUUUUUAUAUUUUGGUAAUGAGCCAGAGCCUUUUACAGUCAGAAAAGAGAAGAGAAUAGAGUACUCUGGACCCACACUGACUUGAGAGCGUCAAAGAGGCCCCCAGGCUGCCAGCUUCACAUUUACCCUGCCCCAGAGGAGAGAGAACGCUAACAGCACAGCAGAGAGAAGCCUCCUCACACUGUUAAAGUAAGCACCACCAUUAAGUUGCUUUUAGAUAGAUUUGUGCCUCUUAAAGACAAACCAGGCAAUCAGAAACACUUAGUCACUGUGUCUUUCAACCUAGGGUGUAAAAUUGUAUGUCAAUAAAAUUGAAGCCUUUUGAGAAGACAUGAAAAAAAAAAAAAGGGCAAAGCCACAGGACUCGCUGGGCCUGCCACACACCAGUAACAAACGUGACUGGGGCAGUCCUUGAACACUGAGCUCAGAGCUCAGAGGAGGAAGUCUGAAAAGAACACAGACAUCAGGAGCUGUAAUUCUCUAAUGCCCCACACAAGGCAAGAGCUAUAGCCCUUUCCCUCAUGGUCUCUGCCCUGAGAAGCUAGGGAUGGUCUGCAGCCGCAACUGCUGCCAGGGAGCGAGGCUCCGUGCAGCAUUAAAAGCACAGAUCUGGUCAUGCUUUAUGGAGCACAGGCCCCAGUUCUUGGGGUUUUCCUACAUCUUGGAAAAUAGUGGAUCCUGGAAAAGGACUCCAUGUGGGCUUCCACAGCACGGAGGAGGAAGAACUUCUAAUUAAGGACCUGGCCACUUUUCCAACGAAAACCAUUCUAGCUUUUGUGUAUGUGCUAGAAAGCAAACCCAGGGCUUUAUGCCUGCUAAUGUGCCGAUCAGUAAACUACAACUGAAAAAAAGCCGACAGUCAAAUCUAGGGAAGUUCACGUCUCCCACCAAUAACCUGAAAAGUGGGUCUGGUACAGAAUAAAUAAGAAGUCUGACUGCAUCGGCAGCAGGGAGACUGAAGAUGUGGCUAGAUUCCAUCAUUCUAGUUCCUCUUGUAUGGCCCAUGGAAUCCUCUAGAGUGAGGUUUACCAGAGAGAAGGGAGAGCGCCUUGAUUUCUGCAAGCAAACUGGCAGGUUAUAGCCAGCCACUACACGAUGUCCCCCUGCACCUGGUGCCACAGCUGAGGCCACAUCUCAACAGAUGUCACUACCACUGAAGCAGCGGGCUGCCAGGACCGGCAAACUGCGCAAAUAUAGAAAAGAUGGACAACGCCGCUCAAAUAACCCUGGCCCUGCUGUGCGCAGGGCAGUGGAAGGCAGCCUGCAGCUCAGCCUCUGUGGCUGUGCACUUCUUGGAGGAAGGAGGAACACAGGAGGGGAUGGAAGGAGCAUGCGCAGUCCAGCUCUCACUCUGACUCUAUGGUUAGCACCCACGCAGAAGAGAUCGCUGUCCCCAGUGCUAACUGGGGCUGUCAGAGCUUUCUAGAAGCCCAACCACGGGUAAGCCAACAGCAGGAGCUGAGACUCGUCCUCUCGGCCCAGCAGGUCUAAGCAGUAUGGAACUGCCCAGCAGUAUGGAACUGCUCAGCAGUAUGGAACUGCCCAGCAGUAUGGAACUGCCCAGCAGUAUGGAACUGCCCAGCAGUAUGGAACUGCCCAGCAGUAUGGAACUGCCCAGCAGUAUGGAACUGCCCAGCAGUAUGGAACUGCUCAGUCACCUGGUUUACUGCUCACCCAAGGCUACAGCACCAAGAGGCAGAGAGCAGAAUCACGGCUUGUCAGUCAGACAGGGGUCCAAAAGCCUAGGUCACCUUUGAUUUCUUAGAAGGUAAGGGAAGUCACUUAGAAGAGAUCAUCAAAAGGGAAAGGAAAAGGAAAAGGAGAAGGAGGAGGAGGAGGAGGAGGAGGAGGAAAAGGAAAAAGAAAAAGACCAGAGUGCGACUUUAUAGUUAUUUAUGACCAACUGAAUCAUUUAAUCAAAAACAACAAAACAGUGGGCUCUGGCUGUCCUUCCACAGGCAUCAAAUGACUCAUUAUCUUACAAUGGCAAAGCGGCCACCCUCACCAGUCUUUAGGAUCAACUACAAAUGCUGCAGGCCUAAAGCACGGUGCCGGGGCCCACAGCCCUGCAGCAGCUAACACUUAGCUACAGCACAGGCUCUGCACACGGAUGAGCAGGCUUUCCACAUGGUUUCCCUGAUUCUAUGAGCCACCAGCCAAGCCUAGGCAUACACACACUUGCCAGUUCCCAGUAGGUUCUGUAUUCUGUGGCAACAGGCAUUCCAGAUGGGACUCUCGGCCUCUAAGUGAGGCAGACGUGGAGGAGGGGCAGUAGAGAAGGCUGCCAAGGAGAAGAUUCGGCCAGUUCCAUGGACUGUGGUGUGGAGUGUGAAUCAAUUCAUAAUGCCAAGCUUGCAGUUAUCAAAAGGAUCAAGCACUUCCACUAAAAGCUAGUGUGUGACUGACCCACUGAUUCAGUUGUCACUGCCCUCUUUCUUAUCCUAAAAAGGCAAUUAGAAAGAUAAUUACUUUCUUUUCUAUCCUGCAGGAAAUUCUGCUUUCAGAAUUGUUAAUUUCAGAAUUCACAAUCUUCGAUGAUUCUUUCAGUUAUCACAAAUACAAAAUGGAAAUAUCACUACUACAGAUUAAAAUUCCUUUGUUGCUUGAGAUCCCACAUUUUAUGCUUAUGGAAGUUUCAGUUAAUUUAACUUUCAAUAAACAUAUGGUGAAGCUC